UACGUAGGGUGCGAGCGUUGUCCGGAAUUAUUGGGCGUAAAGAGCUCGUAGGCGGUUUGGUAAGUCGGGUGUGAAAUCUCCACGCUCAACGUGGAGGGGCCACUCGAUACUGCCAUGACUCGAGUCCGGUAGAGGAGUGUGGAAUUCCCGGUGUAGCGGUGAAAUGCGCAGAUAUCGGGAGGAACACCCGUAGCGAAGGCGGCACUCUGGGCCGGUACUGACGCUGAGACGCGAAAGCGUGGGGAGCGAACAGG
rnacentral:rRNA from 1 species